GUAGGUGGCAAGCGUUGUCCGGAAUUAUUGGGCGUAAAGCGCGCGCAGGCGGUUCUUUAAGUCUGAUGUGAAAGCCCACGGCUCAACCGUGGAGGGUCAUUGGAAACUGGAGAACUUGAGUACAGAAGAGGAAAGCGGAAUUCCACGUGUAGCGGUGAAAUGCGUAGAGAUGUGGAGGAACACCAGUGGCGAAGGCGGCUUUCUGGUUUGUAACUGACGCUGAGGCGCGAAAGCGUGGGGAGCAAACAGGGAUUAGAUACCCUGGUAGUCCACGCCGUAAACGAUGAGUGCUAAGUGUUAGGGGGUUUCCCGCCCCUUAGUGCUGCAGCUAACGCAUUAAGCACUCCGCCUGGGGAGUACGGCCGCAAGGCUG
rnacentral:rRNA from 1 species